rnacentral:tRNA from 1 species
GGACCCUUAGCUCAGUUGGUAGAGCACCUGGUUUACACCCAGGUUGUCAUCGGUUCGAGUCCGGUAGGGUCCACCA